rnacentral:rRNA from 1 species
GACGAACGCUUGCGGCGUGCUUAACACAUGCAAGUCGAACGGAAAGGCCCUGCUUUUGUGGGGUGCUCGAGCGGCGAACGGGUGAGUAACACGUGAGUAACCUGCCCUUGACUUUGGGAUAACUUCAGGAAACUGGGGCUAAUACCGGAUAGGAGCUCCUGCUGCAUGGUGGGGGUUGGAAAGUUUCGGCGGUUGGGGAUGGACUCGCGGCUUAUCAGCUUGUUGGUGGGGUAGUGGCUUACCAAGGCUUUGACGGGUAGCCGGCCUGAGAGGGUGACCGGCCACAUUGGGACUGAGAUACGGCCCAGACUCCUACGGGAGGCAGCAGUGGGGAAUAUUGCACAAUGGGCGGAAGCCUGAUGCAGCAACGCCGCGUGCGGGAUGACGGCCUUCGGGUUGUAAACCGCUUUCGCCUGUGACGAAGCGUGAGUGACGGUAAUGGGUAAAGAAGCACCGGCUAACUACGUGCCAGCAGCCGCGGUGAUACGUAGGGUGCGAGCGUUGUCCGGAUUUAUUGGGCGUAAAGGGCUCGUAGGUGGUUGAUCGCGUCGGAAGUGUAAUCUUGGGGCUUAACCCUGAGCGUGCUUUCGAUACGGGUUGACUUGAGGAAGGUAGGGGAGAAUGGAAUUCCUGGUGGAGCGGUGGAAUGCGCAGAUAUCAGGAGGAACACCAGUGGCGAAGGCGGUUCUCUGGGCCUUUCCUGACGCUGAGGAGCGAAAGCGUGGGGAGCGAACAGGCUUAGAUACCCUGGUAGUCCACGCUGUAAACGGUGGGUACUAGGUGUGGGGUCCAUUCCACGGGUUCCGUGCCGUAGCUAACGCUUUAAGUACCCCGCCUGGGGAGUACGGCCGCAAGGCUAAAACUCAAAGGAAUUGACGGGGCCCCGCACAAGCGGCGGAGCAUGCGGAUUAAUUCGAUGCAACGCGUAGAACCUUACCUGGGUUUGACAUGGAUCGGGAGUGCUCAGAGAUGGGUGUGCCUCUUUUGGGGUCGGUUCACAGGUGGUGCAUGGCUGUCGUCAGCUCGUGUCGUGAGAUGUUGGGUUAAGUCCCGCAACGAGCGCAACCCUUGUACACUGUUGCCAGCACGUUAUGGUGGGGACUCAGUGGAGACCGCCGGGGUCAACUCGGAGGAAGGUGGGGAUGACGUCAAGUCAUCAUGCCCCUUAUGUCCAGGGCUUCACGCAUGCUACAAUGGCUGGUACAGAGAGUGGCGAGCCUGUGAGGGUGAGCGAAUCUCGGAAAGCCGGUCUCAGUUCGGAUUGGGGUCUGCAACUCGACCUCAUGAAGUCGGAGUCGCUAGUAAUCGCAGAUCAGCAACGCUGCGGUGAAUACGUUCCCGGG